rnacentral:rRNA from 1 species
AGUGAACGCUGGCGGUAGGCCUAACACAUGCAAGUCGAACGGCAGCACAGUAAGAGCUUGCUCUUACGGGUGGCGAGUGGCGGACGGGUGAGGAAUACAUCGGAAUCUACUUUUUCGUGGGGGAUAACGUAGGGAAACUUACGCUAAUACCGCAUACGACCUACGGGUGAAAGCAGGGGAUCUUCGGGCCUUGCGCGAUUGAAUGAGCCGAUGUCGGAUUAGCUAGUUGGCGGGGUAAAGGCCCACCAAGGCGACGAUCCGUAGCUGGUCUGAGAGGAUGGUCAGCCACACGGGAACUGAGACACGGUCCCGACUCCUACGGGAGGCAGCAGUGGGGAAUAUUGGACAAUGGGCGCAAGCCUGAUCCAGCCAUACCGCGUGGGUGAAGAAGGCCUUCGGGUUGUAAAGCCCUUUUGUUGGGAAAGAAAAGCAGCAGGUUAAUACCCCGCUGUUCUGACGGUACCCAAAGAAUAAGCACCGGCUAACUUCGUG